rnacentral:rRNA from 1 species
UGGGGAAUAUUGCACAAUGGGCGCAAGCCUGAUGCAGCAACGCCGCGUGAACGAUGAAGGUCUUCGGAUCGUAAAGUUCUGUUGCAGGGGAAGAUAAUGACGGUACCCUGUGAGGAAGCCCCGGCUAACUACGUGCCAGCAGCCGCGGUAAUACGUAGGGGGCUAGCGUUAUCCGGAUUUACUGGGCGUAAAGGGUGCGUAGGUGGUCUUUCAAGUCGGUGGUUAAAGGCUACGGCUCAACCGUAGUUAGCCUCCGAAACUGGAAGACUUGAGUGCAGGAGAGGAAAGUGGAAUUCCCAGUGUAGCGGUGAAAUGCGUAGAUAUUGGGAGGAACACCAGUAGCGAAGGCGGCUUUCUGGACUGCAACUGACACUGAGGCACGAAAGCGUGGGUAACAAACAGG